rnacentral:rRNA from 1 species
GACGAACGCUGGCGGCGUGCUUAACACAUGCAAGUCGAGCGGUAAGGCCCUUUCGGGGGUACGACGAGCGGCGAACGGGUGAGUAACACGUGGGUGACCUGCCCUCAGCUCUGGGAUAAGCCUGGGAAACCGGGUCUAAUACCGGAUAUGACUCCAUGACGCAUGUUGUGGGGUGGAAAGCCUUGUGCGGCUGAGGAUGGGCCCGCGGCCUAUCAGCUUGUUGGUGGGGUGAUGGCCUACCAAGGCGACGACGGGUAGCCGGCCUGAGAGGGCGACCGGCCACACUGGGACUGAGACACGGCCCAGA